GGUUCCAUAGAGCAGUGGUUAGCAUGUCUCCUUUACAUGCAGAAGGUCCCGGGUUCGAGCCCCAGCAGAGCCA
rfam:Pteropus alecto contig98136, whole genome shotgun sequence.